AGUGAACGCUGGCGGUAGGCCUAACACAUGCAAGUCGAACGGCAGCACAGGAGAGCUUGCUCUCUGGGUGGCGAGUGGCGGACGGGUGAGGAAUACAUCGGAAUCUACCUUUUCGUGGGGGAUAACGUAGGGAAACUUACGCUAAUACCGCAUACGACCUACGGGUGAAAGUGGGGGACCGCAAGGCCUCACGCGAUUAGAUGAGCCGAUGUCCGAUUAGCUAGUUGGCGGGGUAAUGGCCCACCAAGGCGACGAUCGGUAGCUGGUCUGAGAGGUUGAUCAGCCACACUGGAACUGAGACACGGUCCAGACUCCUACGGGAGGCAGCAGUGGGGAAUAUUGGACAAUGGGCGCAAGCCUGAUCCAGCCAUACCGCGUGGGUGAAGAAGGCCUUCGGGUUGUAAAGCCCUUUUGUUGGGAAAGAAAUCCUGUCGAUUAAUACUCGGUGGGGAUGACGGUACCCAAAGAAUAAGCACCGGCUAACUUCGUG
rnacentral:rRNA from 1 species